rnacentral:rRNA from 1 species
UAAUACGAACUGUGCAAACGUUAUUCGGAAUCACUGGGCUUAAAGGGUGCGUAGGCGGCUUGUCAAGUAGGGUGUGAAAGCCCCCGGCUUAACCGGGGAAUUGCGCCCUAAACUGGCGAGCUGGAGUGAGAUAGGGGUGUGUGGAACUUCCGGUGGAGCGGUGAAAUGUGUUGAUAUCGGAAGGAACGCCGGUGGCGAAAGCGACACACUGGGUCUCAACUGACGCUGAGGCACGAAAGCCAGGGGAGCGAACGGGAUUAGAUACCCCGGUAGUCCUGGCUGUAAACGUUGAACACUAGUAGGGAGGAACCUAGUUCUUUCCUCCGGAGCUAAAGUGUUAAGUGUUCCGCCUGGGGAGUAUGGUCGCAAGGCUG